rnacentral:rRNA from 1 species
AGCGUCGUAAGGGUGCGUAACACGUAUGCAAUCUGCCCGGAACAGGGGUAUAGCUCGGUGAAAACCGGAUUAACCCCCCAUAAUACAAUUGGGUGGCAUCACUUGAUUGUUAAAUCUGCGGAGGUUCCGGAUGAGCAUGCGGAUGAUUAGCUAGUUGGCGGUGUAACGGACCACCAAGGCGAUGAUCAAUAGGGGAACUGAGAGGUUGAUCCCCCACACUGGCACUGAGAUACGGGCCAGACUCCUACGGGAGGCAGCAGUAGGGAAUAUUGGACAAUGGGUGCAAGCCUGAUCCAGCCAUGCCGCGUGCAGGAAGAAGGCUUUCUGAGUUGUAAACUGCUUUUGCCAGGGGAUAAAAUACGGAUGCGUCCGGAAUUGAAGGUACCUGGUGAAUAAGCCACGGCUAACUACGUGCCAGCAGCCGCGGUAAUACGUAGGUGGCAAGCGUUGUCCGGAUUUAUUGGGUUUAAAGGGUGCGUAGGCGGUCUCUUAAGUCAGUGGUGAAAUACUUCAGCUCAACUGGAGAGGUGCCAUUGAUACUGGGAGACUUGAGUACUGAUGAGGUAGGCGGAAUGGACGGUGUAGCGGUGAAAUGCUUAGAUAUCGUCCAGAACACCGAUAGCGAAGGCAGCUUACUAAGGAGUAACUGACGCUGAGGCACGAAAGUGUGGGGAUCAAACAGGAUUAGAUACCCUGGUAGUCCACACUGU